CCUACGGGAGGCAGCAGUGAGGAAUAUUGGUCAAUGGACGGAAGUCUGAACCAGCCAUGCCGCGUGCGGGAAGAAGGCUCUAUGAGUUGUAAACUGCUUUUGUACAAGGGUAAACCUGAAGACGUGUAUUCGGCUGAAAGUACUGUACGAAAAAGGAUCGGCUAACUCCGUGCCAGCAGCCGCGGUAAUACGGAGGAUCCAAGCGUUAUCCGGAUUUAUUGGGUUUAAAGGGUGCGUAGGCGGAGUGAUAAGUUAGAGGUGAAAUGUCCGGGCUUAACUCGGGAACUGCCUCUAAUACUGUUGAUCUAGAGAGUAGGUGAGGUAGGCGGAAUGUAUGGUGUAGCGGUGAAAUGCUUAGAGAUCAUACAGAACACCGAUUGCGAAGGCAGCUUACCAAUCUAUAUCUGACGUUGAGGCACGAAAGCGUGGGGAGCAAACAGGAUUAGAUACCCUGGUAGUC
rnacentral:rRNA from 1 species